rnacentral:misc_RNA from 1 species
GAAAUGCGAUAAGUAAUGUGAAUUGCAGAAUUCAGUGAAUCAUCGAGUCUUUGAACGCACAUUGCUCCCCCUGGUAUUCCGGGGGGCAUGCCUGUCCGAGCGUCAUUGCUGCCCUCAAGCACGGCUUGGGUGUUUGCCUUCCGUCCCUGGCAACGGGGCCGCGCCCAAAAGGCCGUGGCGGCACCAUGUCUGGUCCUCGAGCGUAUGGGGCUUUGUCGCCCGCUCCCGUAGGUCCAGCCGGCGGCCAGCCUCGCAACCAACCAUUCUUUAACCAGGUUGACCUAGGAUCAGGUAGGGAUACCCGCUGAACUUAA